rnacentral:tRNA from 1 species
GCCUUCGUAGUGUAAUGAUUAGUACGCUCGGAGCGUAUUCGAGAGGUCCGCGGUUCGAGUCCCGGCAAGGGCA